rnacentral:rRNA from 1 species
UACAGAGGUCCCAAGCGUUGUUCGGAUUCAUUGGGCGUAAAGGGUGCGUAGGUGGCGUCGUAAGUCGGGUGUGAAAUCUCGGGGCUUAACUCCGAAACUGCAUUCGAUACUGUCGUGCUUGAGGACUGGAGAGGAGACUGGAAUUUACGGUGUAGCGGUGAAAUGCGUAGAUAUCGUAAGGAAGACCAGUGGCGAAGGCGGGUCUCUGGACAGUUCCUGACGCUGAGGCACGAAGGCCAGGGGAGCAAACGGG